rnacentral:rRNA from 1 species
GACGAACGCUGGCGGCGUGCUUAACACAUGCAAGUCGAGCGGUAAGGCCCUUUCGGGGGUACACGAGCGGCGAACGGGUGAGUAACACGUGGGUGACCUGCCCUUAGCUCUGGGAUAAGCCUGGGAAACUGGGUCUAAUACCGGAUAUGACCCCAUGACGCAUGUUGUGGGGUGGAAAGCCUUGUGCGGCUAGGGAUGGGCCCGCGGCCUAUCAGCUUGUUGGUGGGGUGAUGGCCACCAAGGCGACGACGGGUAGCCGGCCUGAGAGGGCGACCGGCCGACACUGGGACUGAGACACGGCCCAGACUCCUACGGGAGGCAGCAGUGGGGAAUCUUGCGCAAUGGGCGAAAGCCUGACGCAGCGACGCCGCGUGGGGAUGACGGCCU